GUCCCGGUCUUAAAAGUCAGGUAGCAGCGUUUAUUACAAGAGAGUACUGCCACAUACACAUAUUUCCACAGGUUAUAAACUGAAAAUGACGUCAGCGUUUUCUAAACGUUCACCAGUAGAGGCCCUCUAGCUCUCAAGCCUUCGCUCUACGCCUGAAGUCAAGGUCAGUCAGUAUAAAUCUGCAUUUCUAGACAGUCUGGAGAUAGGCCGUUCCUGCCACCUGGAGAUUGUACAAAUAAAUGAACAAAGGAACAGACCUUCAUUGUUACUAAACUCCUGACUACAUUAUAUACAAUUGGGAAUGGGAGCAAGAGAGAAAAUUCAUAUGUACAGUACAUUAUAGCAUUUGGACUAGUCAGUUCUGAUUGGAAUGUAUACAUAAUUAGUCAUUUCAACCAUAAUUUCCUCUAACAGGGCAACAGGACAUUUUGGAAUCAGCAGCAGUCAUGAAGGACAAAGGAAGGCAUUUUACACAAGUCUGAACUCUGCCAAUACUUACUACUGUACACACUAUCAUUUAAACCAGCCUACUCUUUGAGUAAGGUAAGGAAAUAAAAACAAAAAUGUUUUAGCAACCUGGAAUCUCUACUCAAGGUUUCUUAGCACAAGAUGGCUGAGACGUGACUAAAGAAUGUAUGAAUAAAUCCCAAUUUUGUGACUCAAAUGUUGAAAUCCAAGACAUUACAGUAUGUCAACACAAUACUUCCUGUACUAAUGAAGGUAUAAAGGUGUCCACAUAUUUUGGGUGGCCACAGAGAGUGGUAGAAGACUCGGGGGGUAAUACUAUGGCAUUCUAUUUGAAGACUUUCUACACUGUUGGUACUGACACUGACAGGAGGCCUUGAUCCUACCAGUGUCUCAGCAGCAUCUCCUAAUCCUAGUGAGUAUCCAACUACCUGAAACCAUCAAAGACUACCUCUAAUCUCUUACCAUUACCACCAAAGGAAUUAUAUAGAGACACAUUUUGCUAUAUGUUUAGUAUCAUAGUGUUUGGCAUUGUGUUUGUUAUUUUGUUAUAAUAUUGCGACAUGGGCUUGGGUCGGGUGAGAGAUGGAUACAAGACGACCUUCACCUGUACCUCCAACUGAAUCCCAGGAUGCACCUACACCUGGCUGCUGAAGGGGCGCACUUUCAAUGGGAGCUCAGUGUCCGUGAGGCCCAGCCCACAGCUCUCUCUCCCCAUUCUCAACCAGUCCUUCAGCCUGGACUGUAGCGGCUCCUUCCCAGGCCUGCCAGUGCUUUGGUACAAAGACGGCCAGGUUGUAGCUCCAGAUGCCAGGAUAAACCUGUUGGAACACAACACCUCCCUCCACUUCAACUCCCUGCUGCCCUCUGAUGGUGGCUUCUAUCAGUGCGAGGUGACCAUGGCAAACAUGGCUGAAAGCAAGGUCAUAAGCUUGGGGUACCUGCUAAACUUUGAUCAUUGGAGUGUUAGUAUCAGUGGCCCUGACACAGUGUUGCCUGGGAGGGAAUACACCUUUACCUGCCAGGUGAACUGAACUGUCGACCUGGACUGCUCCAUCCGCUGGCCAUUGAGAGGGGGUAUCCUUACUAGCGCCUACUUCUCCGUGAGGAAGAAUAUCCUGAAAUGGAUCCCGUCGGUACCUGGUAUGGUCCAGAACUUCACCUGUGUGGUGGAGAACACAGCAGCUGGACGCUCUGCAGAGGCCUCCAAGACAGUGAAGGUCACAGGACCCACAGUAUCAGGAUCUGAAACAGUGAGGUUGUGUGGAGUUUUAGGACUGGUCCUCUGUAUGGGACUGCUGUUCCUCCUGGAUCCCUAGGAGGGGCGCUAUAAGACUACAGACGAUGGGAAGGACAGAGGAGAACAUUGAAUGAGUUCAGGUUCACCUUCAGAACGAAUAAUAAAACAGGAACCAACGUUUUGAAACUCUUAAUCCUGUCCAAUAAGAAUGCUCAUAAGAAUAUAAGGAUAUAAGAAUGUUUCCUCUGUUGUGGGAUAAUGAUAGUUGAGUCAUUGGAAGUUUCCAGUGAAUUAUGUUUAUCAUCCACAUGCAGGGUAACGAUGAGAAAAUAACAAAACGUACAUAGUGAUGUUAUCUAUGUAAUAUUUUCUUAUUUGCAAUAUGUACUGUAUUAUUAUUAUCUUUGUUGUUGUUGAGAUGACCUUGUAAAAUAAACUCCCAAAUGAGUGUGGUAAUAGAUAGCUGUCUCUGUA